AUGGCACUUAAGACUAGGUCAUAUAGAAGAAGAAGAAGACAAGAUUAACAAAUUGGAGAAAAUCAAACUUUUGGGUUCGUUGACUUUCGAGUCAUAUCCGGUCCAUGAGUCAUGCCUUCAAAGAAAAAUGACCAAGCUUCUCUUUGUAGGAUAUGGAGAAAGGACUAUAGAAGUACUUGCUCUGGUACACACUGAUGUGUGC
rnacentral:lncRNA from 1 species